rnacentral:rRNA from 1 species
UACAGAGGGUGCGAGCGUUAAUCGGAAUUACUGGGCGUAAAGCGUGCGUGGACGGUUAUGUAAGUCAGGUGUGAAAGCCCCGGGCUCAACCUGGGAAUUGCAUUUGAGACUGCAUAGCUAGGGUGCGGAAGAGGGAAGCGGAAUUUCCGGUGUAGCGGUGAAAUGCGUAGAUAUCGGAAGGAACAUCAGUGGCGAAAGCGGCUUCCUGGUCCAGCACCGACGUUCAGGCACGAAAGCGUGGGGAGCGAACCGG